AAGAAAACAUACUAUUCCCUAGCAUUUUUUGCAAGUGGAAUUGUCUUUACUACAAAUUUCAUGUAGUCAUUUCUUGCAUUUAACACAUUCAGUUCAGUCACAUUUUGGCCUCUUCUUAUCAUACUAAUCCUGAUAUUCAAAGUCGUCGCCAUCACUACUGCCUACCACAAUAUCCUGAAUUGAAGAGGGUGAUGACAAACUCAGUUUUCUUUUUCUCAAAAUUCAAUCUCCCCCAAUCACAAAACUCUCAUCUUCCUCCCACUCUUGUCUUCCCCAAGUUACCUUAUGUCGAAGUUUUUAUAUUUCAAAUAGAAUUUAAGAAUGGUUUAGAGAAGUUAUGUAUUAUAAAAAAGAAAUUAAUUAUUUUUGUAUAUAAUAAAAUACAGUAUAUUUAAAUAUAAAUGUCUCCGUUGAAGUUUUACAUUAUAAAAUUACAAAUACAGCACAAUACAAAAAAACUCUGUCAAAAUAUAGAUAAUUUUAUAUCUAUAAAAAAAAAAUAAC
rnacentral:lncRNA from 1 species